rnacentral:rRNA from 1 species
GCAAGUCGUACGAGAAAGCUUCUUCGGAAGUGAUUAGAGUGGCGCACGGGUGAGUAACACGUAGGUGAUCUACCAUUUGGCGGGGGAUAACCAGAAGAAAUUCUGGCUAAUACCGCAUACGUACUGCAAUUUUGAAAGUAGCAGUAGAAAGAGUGCCUCUCCUUGGAAGCACUUACCAAAUGAUGAGCCUGCGUAGCAUUAGUUAGAUGGUGGGGUAAUGGCUUACCAUGACUACGAUGCUUAGCUGGUCUGAGAGGAUGAUC